rnacentral:rRNA from 1 species
UACGGGGGGGGGCAAGCGUUGUUCGGAAUUACUGGGCGUAAAGGGCUCGUAGGCGGCCAACUAAGUCAGACGUGAAAUCCCUCGGCUUAACCGGGGAACUGCAUCUGAUACUGGAUGGCUUGAGUUCGGGAGAGGGAUGCGGAAUUCCAGGUGUAGCGGUGAAAUGCGUAGAUAUCUGGAGGAACACCGGUGGCGAAGGCGGCAUCCUGGACCGACACUGACGCUGAGGAGCGAAAGCCAGGGGAGCAAACGGG